AGAGUGCGAGAGAGCAAUUAUCACCUGCGAGUUGCAAAAAAACACUGCGAGCGCUGCCUGCAGCCGUGGGCGCCGUGCAGAUAAGAUGGAAAAAAGGGACACACUGAGUGGACGCAACAGUGGCAAUGAGGUGAUGUGAUUUCCGAGAGCGAGGUGCAAAAAUGAUUUUUUCAAGAAGAUGUGAAAAUACUCACAGAAGUUGCUGAGAUGGUCCGGCGUUGUCUUCAUCCUUGUCGUCGGUGCUCAGGUUGUCCCUGGCCGAGUCCAUCCUGAUGAGCUCCAGGUCUCGCAGCGACUGGUGCUGCUGAAUGGAGGAAGGAAUGCAAAAGGAAUGUGGUUGGCAGGCAACUGUCGAUAUCAGCGCAGAAAAAAACAAUCAAAACGAAUUCCACUCCUGUUGCAUCGUUUCAUGAAGCCUCGUCAUCCUCUUCUGCCACCAGAGUUCCACAGAAGAGCACAAAUAACGUGGAAAAAGGAGCUUUGCCGGUUUAAAUCUCAUUGAAAAAUAUAAAAAUAUUUCUGCAGUGUUCCAUCAAAUUUUGAAGCUGGAUUUCAUCAUAUAUCGAUGCUUCCUUAGCCGUCUCCGCAAAAUGAAGACAUGAAGAGUCAUACUUUUUUUACUUCAAAG